UGAUCAUGACAUUAAAAAUAACUAAAAAAAUUAUUGAGAAUUUUUUGUUUAUCUCUAACAGAAAAACGAGAAAAACAGCCAGAGACAAAAAACGCAUGGGCAUGGCUUGCUUAUCCUGCCACUCCAUGACCAAAACACUUUUGAGUGUUUGCUUUUCUUCCCACCAAUACCAACUCUCCAUCUCCACCAUCCAACACUGAUCCGAAGCCUCUUCCAGUUCCAGUUCCAGUUCCCACAACAACAGCAAGUACCAGAACCAAAAACACCACUACUCUACCGUUACCGAGAAAGAAAACAAAUCCAAAACAGACGAUAACAACAGCUCAACCUUAAGAACAUUGAAAGCGUCGCUGGUGCUGGCAGUUAUCGUGACUAUGAGAAGCCCAUUGACCAAGAGAAGAAAAGGAAGAAGUCUGAGUUCUUGGAGCAGGGAACAGUGGGAAGAAGCUCAGAGAGACUGGAGAGUGGGUUACCACCAAAACUGAUGGAGGAUUUCGUUCCAACGAUACAAGAACUUUAAUGCUCUCUUUUCAGUGGGCCAUACCAAUUUCUUGAUGAUCUGCUCAUGUCAAAUUAUUAGUUGAAAUAAUAAUGUUUCGCUAUAUUAGUUCGAGAGUGUUACCGAACUGUACACAAAUCUUCCAGCUUGUUGGGUGACACCCUUCGUCCCAGUAUGGAUAUCAAUUCGAAGGGCCAAAAAAGCUUCACUGCAGGUAAGCAGGUGGAUUAAGCAAUUAAAAUUCCACGAUGUAAAGUUGCAUAAUUUACAGAAGAAACCAAGAUACAUCUCCUGCUUGGUCUUAAUUUAUCAUGUAAUUCUUAUCAUCAAAAUAUGUAAGAUAUAAGUUGCAACAUCUAUGUAGUAACAUCUACUGAGACAGCAACAUCUGUUUACCAGAAGUAACAGUAUUGGCUCUCCUUAGGGACAAGAUGCUUACCUGGGGAAGAAUUGCUAGCCCGGCUUGGAUCUAGCACAUUAAGAAGGGUGUGAUGGCUAAUGGGAGCCUUACAUAGGAUUCCGAGAACUCCUUUGUAUUAUAUACGUGGCUAAACUUGAUCAUGAACGUGAUUCUUGUUGCUUCCGAGAUCACUGUCCCCGGACACGAAAAAAGAUGUCAUGAUUAGCGCUUGAGUGUUGAGGCAUUAUCAUUGUCAUUAUUGAUUUUGUUUCUGAAGAAAACAUUAUUAAGAAAAGAAACCUGGUUAACAUGAAAUUGAUUAUUUAGUGAUUAGAAAAACGUUGGGUUGCAUCUUGCUUGUUCAAGCC